rnacentral:lncRNA from 1 species
UGGUGAGAUCAAUUGCCAAGAGUAGGAACUUUAGUUGUGAUAAGUGUGAAGGUGUUAGGAGAGGGUUUAAUCUGGCUAGUGUAGCAGGUGAAAUGGGAGGGAACACUGUGAGGGAGGUCUACCUAACAAGGAGAAAAUUGAGAGAAAUUCAGCCAGAAUGUAGCCCUACUUUCUUCUAAAUGGAAAUACUCAUCACUGUGAGAAUAGAGACAAACAGAAUGCAAGAAAGAAAAAUACAGUAACAGAUAGCAUUUAUCUAUUUAAGCAUUUUGCAUAUAUUAACUCAUAAAACGCUAUUAGAUAAAACACUAUUAGAUAAUACAGUAUUAUUCCUAUUUUACAGAAAGAAGCUCAAAGUUGUUAAAGCAAAAGAGAGGGACCUUACUAUUUUGCCCUUGUCUGCUUCCCCAGAAUUCUUUUGCCACUUACUACUUUGAACUUUCUGCAUGAACACCAUCAAAUGGUUUUCAGUUUCAUGCCAUGAUGAGCUAUUUCUUGCCUCUGUACCUUUGGUCAUGCCAAGAUUCUCAGUCCAUGACCCCUUUUCUUGACUCCCAUCCAUUCUUUAACCCUCAGAUUCUGUUACUUUCUCACAAUUUGUGGACAUUUCUCUCACGGUGUUAAAAUAUUCUGUUUCCUUACCUUCACCUGGACUGGACUGUGGGCAGGACAUAGAUUUCGUGUCUGUGGCAUAGGGCCUGGCCAAUACUAUAUAUAUUUUUCAACUCAACCACAAAUGAGUAAAUAUCUGCGAUAACUAGGUGAACAGAAAAUUCUCAGGGAUGAGGUUUAAAAUAGGGAAAGAGGAAAGAAGUAAAAACUCGUGGCAAAAUAGAACUUGCAUACUCUUUGCUUUCAAUUUAGGCUAGGGGUCAAACCAGAACUAUAGCUGCUGGCCUAUACCGCAGCCACAGCAAUGCGGGAUCUGAACUGCGCCUGCAACCUACACCACAGCUUUCAGCAACGCCGGAUCCCCAGUCCUCUGAGAGAGGCCAGGGAUUGAACCCGCAUCUUUGUGGAUACCAGUCAGAUUCAUUUCCGCUGCACCACAGUGGGAACUCCAAGGAAAAAAACAGCAUUUAAUAUGAGUUUGUAUACUACAGUCUAAGGAGAUUUUGUAUGAGUUCUGAGCGAUAUAGGUACUCAUAGGAAUGUAUCUCUAAUUUUUCCCCAUCUUAGUUAAUGGUGUUAACUUUUAAUGAUAACCUCUGCCCUUGGGUCUGCAGAAAUUCAAAACGGUUUGGGUAUUUUGAUGUGCAGGGAAAAAAAAUGGACACUUCCAAAAAAAUUUUUUUGACCACACCCAUGGCAUGUGGAAGUUCCUGGGUCGGGGAUUAAACCUGAGCCACAACAGUGACCAGAGGUGAUGCAUGGACAACACCGGAUCCUUAACGUGCUGUGCCAGAAGAGCACGCCUGUACACAUUAAAAAAAACCCAAAUCCUUAAGCUUUCUCUGCUUAUCUUUAGCACUUAUCUGUGGCUUUUGCAAUGCUAGCAUUACCAUAGUGAUAAAUAGGGGGUGAUGCUAUCCAUAAAGUUUCCUGCAUAGUUCAAUAAAAAUACCAGUAAUGACUAUUUUUUAUUGGUUAUGCCUGGCACCAUGCUAAGCAUUUCACAUACAUUAUUCCAAUUAAUUACAGUACCUCUAUGUUACAAAUCAGAAAUGUGAGGCCCAAGGCCACCCACUGACAGAGCCAGGAUUCUGACACCAGUAACUAUGCUCACCACACUACACAUUUGCUCUAAUUUAUUAAUUCCUUUAGGUCUUUCUCUUUCAAGUGGCUUUAGUCAAUACAGCCACUUGGGUUCUGCGCAUAUGCUGGAAAUAGCAUGGUCUGUUAAUUCUAACCCUCCACUGACUGUAUCAGGCAGUUCCUAGUUUUAAGCUCGGGCUCAAAGUGUAGACUCUUUUAUGAGAUUUCUGGCAGAAGCAGGUGAAAGGAAGAAUUCAAAACCAUUUCCUUUGUUGGGAGAGACACAUCAAGUAGUUGGGAGGGAGUGGGGCUGUUCCAUUCAGCCCUCAGUCUAGUCUCUUGGAGAGCAGCACUGAAGUCUCUCCCAUAAUUGCCUGCCUGGAAGGUGGAAAAUGGGAUAAGUGAUGUCACCGCAAAUGCAGACAUGCUGAACCCAAUAUUGCACAUCAGUGAAAUGGCUCAGGGAUUAGCUAGGCAUCCUCAACCCAUUUUCACAUUUAGUUUUCCUUCAAAGGAGAACUAUAUAAAAUAUACAACAAUAACCCAUGGCUUAUUUUAAAGUGCUUUCUUCUGACAGUCCUUAGUAGCACAUGAUUAGAGUUAAAAACCGAGAAACUAAUCCUUCUUCAGCUGCUGACCUGCAGUGUGAAAUGCAGUCAGGUAACCUACUCCAGGGCUGACCAAGGCACAGGUAUUUAUUAAGUAUCUAUUAACAGUCCAGCAUGAAUUUUUAUGCUUUGGGUAUCAAAAGAAUAUUGAAAGCUAGGUUUCAGCUUACCCUGAGCACCACACAAGUCAAAAUAAUGAAUUUCAGUGGUUAAAUGACUGGUAUAAACUACGGCAGUUGGGAUGACAAAUAAAUGAAUGACAGCUGGACUGGUCAAGCAUAGUGAGCAAUUGCUCUGACUGCCCACAAUCUACUUGUUUUUCCUCUAAUAACAUAAUACAUAUUUUGCUCUGAGAAGUCAUGCAUCCCCACUCUAAGUCCGCUUAGUUUGGGUGAUGACUAAGACAGGAAUGGGAGCAUGACUGACUAUAGCCAGUGAGAUUUUAAAAAUAUUCCUGUAUUGCCUAUGGCUGAAAGGAGACUUACACAUGGACUUUUCAGUUAGCUGAAACAAGAAAUUUCUUUUUUCUUAAGCCAGUUUGCUUUGGCUUGUUUGCUACUUGCAACCAAAAUAUUGCUAACGGGUUUUCUGCUUCUAGAUAGGGUAGACUUCUGCUUCUCAGAAGGAUACAGUAGAAGCUGACAGGGUAAUGUUCCCACUGCAACAACUUGAAACCAACAGAUAAAUUGCAAACUUCAUAUUUCUGAAUGCAUGGGGGAAAUGUAGAAGUAACAGAGAUGAGAUAAACCCUAAAUCUUGAGAGGUGAGAAGCUGACUACUCUAGUCAUUUUUCAACCUGAGUCAUCUGCCAAUUUUGAGCAUGACCUGAGGAGCAGGCUUGCUGAUGAAGCAGAACUCUGCUGGGAGUAAGAGUGACCACCUGAGCUUUUAGCAGUUACAGGGGGCUGAUAUGGCAGUUUGGAAGCUUGAAGAGACUCAAAUACUUAUUGUUUCCAGAUAGGUUCUAGAGCUGCAGGGGAACUAAGCUAAAAGCUUCUAAAAUGCAGAGUAAAUUAUCUAGAGUUUCUUGGUGCUUAGGAACUAAGAUCUGCCAGUGAGAGAGCUUGCAUCAAGAAAAUUUACUUAGGGUCUAGAGAUUGACUGAAACUUACAGAGAGCAGAGAUGGAAACCAGUACUGUUCUGGGGCUCAGGAAAUAUUUCUGACAGGGAUAUACAUGUCCCUGACAGAAUAUAUAAAUAUAUAUAUUUGUCUCUUUUUUUAGGGCUGCACCCAUGGUAUAUGGAGGUUCCCAGGCUAGCCACAACCACAGCAACACAGCUAUACCACAGCUUACAGCAACACCGGAUCCUUAACCCACUGAACGGGGCCAAGGAUAGAACCUGUGCCCUCAUGGAUGCUAGUCAGAUUCAUUUCUGCUGAGCCAUGAUGGGAAUUCCUGUCAGGGUUAUAUUAAAAAAUCUAGGAGAUUUAGGCUCUUGCACCAGUGAAAAUCAGGAAUGGACUUAAUAUUAUAAAUAUUGCGAUCUAGUUUUGUUCCUAAUGAAUUUCUAAAUGGGUUAAGAUGAUUGUAUUUUGCUAUAUUUGCAUAAUUAUGAAGAAAACACUAUGGUGAAAGAUAAAAUAAUCUGGACCCUCUUUUUUUUUAAAAUUGAAGUAUAGUUGAUUCACAAUAUUGUGUUAGUUUCAGGUUAUAGCAAGGUGAUUCAGUUAUAUAUUUCUUUAGAUUAUUUUCCAUUAUAGGUUAUUAUAAGAUAUUGAAUAUAGUUCCCUGUGUUAUACAGUAAACUCUUGUUGCUUAUCUAUUUUAUGUACAGCAGUUUUUAUCUUUCAGUCCCUUAAUCCAAUUUAUCCCCCCCAUUUCCCUUAGGUAACCAUAAGUUUGUUUUCUAUACUUGUAAAACUGUUCUUUAUUUUGUAUAUAGACUCAUUUGUAUUAUAUUCAGAUUCUAAAAAUAAGUGAUAUCGUAUAAUAUUUGUUUUUCUCUGAUUUUCUUCACUUAUAAUAAUCUCUGGGUCUAUUUAUGUUGCUGCAAAUGGCAAUGUUUCAUUUUUUAUUGGUUAGUAAUAUUCCAUUGUAUAUAUGUAUGUAAAUAUACAUACAUGCAUACACAUACACAAGAUUGCUUUGGCAGUUCUGGGUCUUUGUGGUUCCAUAUAAAUUUUAGUAUUAUUUAUUCUAGUUCUGUGGAAAUACAUUAUGCGUUUUUUUGAUAGGGAUCACAUUAAAUGUGUGGUUGCUCUGGAGGUAGUAUGACCAUUUUAAGAAUAAUUCUUCCGGAGAUCCCGUCGUGGCGCAGUGGUUAACGAAUCCGAACCAUGAGGUUGUGGGUUCGGUCUCUGGCCUUGCUCAGUGGGUUAAUGAUCCUGCGUUGCCGUGAACUGUGGUGUAGCUUGUAGACGCGGCUCGGAUCCCGCGUUGCUGUGGCCCUGGUGUAGGCCCGUGGCUACAGCUCCAAUUCGACCCCUAGCCUGAGAACCUCCAUAUGCCGCGGGAGCGGCCCAAGAAAUAGCAAAAAGACAAAAAAAAAAAAAAAA